UUCAAGUUCGACAGAUUCUAUUUUUUUCCCUUUCAGGCAGAUUUCAAACUGAUGUGUGAUAACGCGAUGACCUACAACAGACCAGACACCGUGUACUACAAGUAGACCAAGGAGAUCCUUCACGCAGGCUUUAAGAUGAGCAAACAGGCAGAUCUUCUGGGCAACGAAGACACGGCUUUGGAGGAGCUCGUUCCUGAAGCAGCAUCUGUACAAGUUGAAACUGCCAAGGAAUCCAAAAGGAAGUAGAGAAGUUAUCAGGUAUCGGGAAACGCACCUCAGGAAUCUGCACGUUUGAGCCGGAAGGAAAUGCCUGCAGCCUGACUGACAGCACGGCAGAGGAGCACGUGCUGGCCUUGGUGGAGCACGCAGCUGACGAGGCUCGGGACAGGAUCAGCCGGCUCUCACAGGGGGCAAGGUCGCGUCAGGGGUGUCUGGGCAGAGCUCGUGUCCCGCGGGCUCUCUUUGGGUCCUGUCACCAGCUCCAUCUCUGGGGUGCCUCGCGAGCAGGACCCUCCCAGAUGUGGUGUGUGUUACGGGGUCGCUGCAGGCAGGCUCGCCCCGUAGUGGGGAUGUUGCCCACCGGCGGAUGGACGUCAGGCCUGCCAGUCAUCUGCGCUGCAGCCUCCCUCUUCUCCUGGU